AUUGAACGCUGGCGGCAGGCUUAACACAUGCAAGUCGAGCGGGGGAAGGUAGCUUGCUACCGGACCUAGCGGCGGACGGGUGAGUAAUGCUUAGGAAUCUGCCUAUUAGUGGGGGACAACAUCUCGAAAGGGAUGCUAAUACCGCAUACGUCCUACGGGAGAAAGCAGGGGAUCUUCGGACCUUGCGCUAAUAGAUGAGCCUAAGUCGGAUUAGCAAGUUGGUGGGGUUAAGGCCUACCAAGGCGACGAUCUGUAGCGGGUCUGAGAGGAUGAGCCGCCACACUGGGACUGAGACACGGCCCAGACUCCUACGGGAGGCAGCAGUGGGGAAUAUUGGACAAUGGGGGGAACCCUGAUCCAGCCAUGCCGCGUGUGUGAAGAAGGCCUUAUGGUUGUAAAGCACUUUAAGCGAGGAGGAGGCUACUCUAGUUAAUACCUAGGGAUAGUGGACGUUACUCGCAGAAUAAGCACCGGCUAACUCUGUGCCAGCCGCCGCGGUAC
rnacentral:rRNA from 1 species